UGUUCGCGUGGCCGAUAGGGGGCAGCAGGUGCCCUGCGAUGUGCCCACUGGCCGUGGGAAGCCGGCCUAAUUGGACGUUUGGGUGAGCAGGCUGGACCUGCGGCCUCUCGGGCUCCAGCGGCAGCCGCGUGGCCCUGGGCUGAGACCCGGAGCACCUGAGGAUGUUCCUUGUGCAAGGCCAUCUAUCUGUACUUGGAGGGAAAACUUUGAUGGCACUGCAGAAUGAAAAAGAGAUUCAUUACUCACUUCAGAAUCUAGAACAGAGUGGCCAAUGUGGAGAGAAAAGGAGCAAGUGGAUGUGUCUUGGAUCUGCUGCCAUCUGGAACAGCCUAACUGUAAACUCUUGAGCAGGGACUGUGUCCUGAACUUCAUGCACCCACCAGAAAAAUCCGAAUCAUUGCUAUGCCAUAGACGGAGUCCAGUAUGCGUGCUUUGGAUGCUCUAAGUUAAGUGCAUGUACGGCGCAUGUCACAAGAACGGCAUUAACAUUUAUUAUGUGUGAAAAUUACAUGUUAAGAUCGGCGAGGAUACUGAGGUCUGUCUUGUCUCUGAAAUGAGGAAGCUUUUAAAUAAAGAUGGUGGGCUCGCACACUGAA